rnacentral:rRNA from 1 species
CCUACGGGUGGCAGCAGUGAGGAAUAUUGGUCAAUGGACGAGAGCCUGAACCAGCCAAGUAGCGUGAAGGAUGACUGCCCUAUGGGUUGUAAACUUCUUUUAUAUGGGAAUAAAAUGUUCCACGUGUGGGAUUUUGUAUGUACCAUAUGAAUAAGGAUCGGCUAACUCCGUGCCAGCAGCCGCGGUAAUACGGAGGAUCCGAGCGUUAGCCGGAUUUAUUGGGUUUAAAGGGAGCGUAGGUGGAUUGUUAAGUCAGUUGUGAAAGUUUGCGGCUCAACCGUAAAAUUGCAGUUGAAACUGGCAGUCUUGAGUACAGUAGAGGUGGGCGGAAUUCGUGGUGUAGCGGUGAAAUGCUUAGAUAUCACGAAGAACUCCGAUUGCGAAGGCAGCUCACUGGACUGCAACUGACACUGAGGCUCGAAAGUGUGGGUAUCAAACAGGAUUAGAUACCCUAGUAGUC